rnacentral:rRNA from 1 species
UGGGGAAUAUUGGACAAUGGGCGAAAGCCUGAUCCAGCAAUGCCGCGUGUGUGAAGAAGGCCUUCGGGUUGUAAAGCACUUUCAAUGGGGAAGAAGAAGCGCGGGUGAAUACCCCGUGUGGAUGACGUUACUCAUAGAAGAAGCACCGGCAAACUCUGUGCCAGCAGCCGCGGUAAUACAGAGGGUGCGAGCGUUAAUCGGAAUUACUGGGCGUAAAGCGUGCGUAGGUGGUUGGAAAAGUCGGUGGUGAAAGCCCAGGGCUCAACCCUGGAAUGGCUAUCGAAACUCUCCAACUCGAGUUCCAAAGAGGACAGUGGAAUUUCCGGUGUAGCGGUGAAAUGCGUAGAUAUCGGAAGGAACACCAGUGGCGAAGGCGACUGUCUGGGUGAGAACUGACACU